GACGAACGCUGGCGGCGUGCUUAACACAUGCAAGUCGAACGAUGAAGCCGGAGCUUGCUCUGGUGAAUUAGUGGCGAACGGGUGAGUAACACGUGAGUAACCUGCCCUUGACUCUGGGAUAACUGCUAGAAAUGGUAGCUAAUACCGGAUACGACCCUCGGCGGCAUCCCCAGGGGGUGGAAAGAAUUUCGGUCAAGGAUGGACUCGCGGCCGAUCAGCUAGUUGGUGAGGUAAUGGCUCACCAAGGCGACGACGGGUAGCCGGCCUGAGAGGGUGACCGGCCACACUGGGACUGAGACACGGCCCAGACUCCUACGGGAGGCAGCAGCGGGGAAUAUUGCACAAUGGGCGCAAGCCUGAUGCAGCUACGCCGCGUGAGGGAUGACGGCCUUCGGGUUGUAAACCUCUUUUAGUAGGGAAGAAGCGAAAGUGACGGUACCUGCAGAAAAAGCACCGGCUAACUACGUGCCAGCAGCCGCAGUAA
rnacentral:rRNA from 1 species